UUCGAGCGUCAUUUCAACCCAUCAAGCUUCGGCUUGGUCUUGGGGCCUGCGAUCCCGCAGCCUCUAAACCCAGUGGCGGUGCCCUCGAGCUCUGAGCGUAGUAAUUCUCCUCGCUAUAGGGUCUCGGUGGUGUCUUGCCAGUAACCCCCAAUUUUAUCAAGGUUGACCUCGGAUCAGGUAGGGAUACCCGCUGAACUUAA
rnacentral:misc_RNA from 1 species